rnacentral:rRNA from 1 species
CUCUGUGACUCCUACGGGAGGCAGCAGUGGGGAAUAUUGCACAAUGGGCGCAAGCCUGAUGCAGCCAUGCCGCGUGUGUGAAGAAGGCCUUCGGGUUGUAAAGCACUUUCAGUUGUGAGGAAGGUGGUGUCGUUAAUAGCGGCAUCAUUUGACGUUAGCAACAGAAGAAGCACCGGCUAACUCCGUGCCAGCAGCCGCGGUAAUACGGAGGGUGCGAGCGUUAAUCGGAAUUACUGGGCGUAAAGCGCAUGCAGGUGGUUCGUUAAGUCAGAUGUGAAAGCCCGGGGCUCAACCUCGGAAUUGCAUUUGAAACUGGCAGACUAGAGUACUGUAGAGGGGGUAGAAUUUCAGGUGUAGCGGUGAAAUGCGUAGAGAUCUGAAGGAAUACCGGUGGCGAAGGCGGCCCCCUGGACAGAUACUGACACUCAGAUGCGAAAGCGUGGGGAGCAAACAGGAUUAGAUACCCUGUAG